AAAGAAUGCAAAGCAACCUUUGUGUUCCUUAUAAUAACUGACUUAAUAACUCUGCAGCUGCGUUAUGGGGAGCGUAUAAAGCUUCUGUUCCGAGAACAAAGGAGCACGUGCAGAAAUGAGCCGAAAAAAUCAGUGACAGCAUUUCACUACACAAAUUACUGAAAAGGUUUUAGUCAAAGCCUCUCAACAGAUGCAAUUUUAAAAUGGUUUUUAGCUGGAAAAAAAAUGAAAGUGCUUACCCGGUAAAAGAACCGAAGUAGUCCUGAACUGUUACGUAAGACUUUCUACAGUUGGAUCUUUGUCAAAAGGGGAAGGGGGUGAUAGAAGAAAGCAGCAACAACAAAAAAGUUGGAGCUGCUGUGGCUAGAGGACAACUUCUGUGCUUCCAGAUAGGAUUCUUGCUGUAGAAAUGGAACUUCAGCCAGCACAGCAUCCUGUCCCAGUAGAAAAAUGAGUUUGUCAGUUUAAAAAAAAAAAAAAAAAAAAGAUCCUGGAGCCCAGGCUAGACAAGGUAUUGAACCGCACCAGGUUUCCUUGCAGCCCUGUCUGCUUAGCUCGCAUUGAACUAUAUAUGACCCAGAUGAUGGACAGAAGCACAUUCAGUCAUGUGCACACUGGAAGAAAGCGGAUUUGCUGGUCCCCGCCAGGGCAGGGGUUUGUCUUCUGAUUGGGCUGUGCCCUGAUCGGUGAAAUGUGAAGCCCUCACCAUUCAGAGGCCAUAAUUCAGGACUGGCAGUUUGAGUGUCUGGCUGCUUCUAGUCACUGAGAGAGACUUUGUAGGUGUUGCUUUUGUUUGAUGGCAUGACCCACGGAGUAGUUGCUUACACCUUAUAUACAUGUCGGGGGAACUAGUCUUUCUAAAAUACAAUAAUGCAGCUGAUGCCACAGUUCUAAGCCAGCCUAUUGUUGAUAAAUUGUGCUGUAACUAAACUAAUUGUUUGAUUUAGCCAGCUUCCUCUCCAGACCAUGGACCUGAUUUUGCAGUUUGAUAAGGUAAUUAUAAAAGUGGUGUUUGAAGCAGAAAUGGUGUGUUCCUGUAGUAAGUCUAGCAUUUGAGAGGCAGAAGUAGGAAAGAUUGUGAGUUUUAGGCCAAAUUUAGCUACAUAGUAGCAUAGUAUAUAGGAAGGAAGGAGGGAAGAGGGAAGUUUUAUAGAUCUAAAUUAUACCUAAUGAAAAGCGAAUAAACAGCAGAGAAGUGAGUUUUUAGAUUUUAGAGUGUUUGAACAUAUGAGGAAGUAGCUUUAAAUCUCUUAUUAUUCCUUUUUGGGAUCACCCUUUAGUCAUACAGGGGAUUUUGGAGAUGGGUAGUAUAAAAGCAUAGACUCCAUCAAGCUGUGGCCUAGCCUUUAAACUUGCAACACAGCCUUAGCUGGCAGUCUUUAGAUGAAUUAUCUAAACUAGGGUCCUUCAGGUUCACCAGCUGUUUUUCUGAGCCACUAGGAAACCAGGUUGCCAUAAAGGACUGUCAGUUGUGAUGUUGUUUAGAAAAAGGCAGUUACUUUAUUUAAUUAAAUUGACUUUUUUUUUUAAUUGAUGUAAUAAAGUUUCAUUAUGAGGGGCUGGAGAGAUAAAUGGCUCAAAGGUUAAGAAUACAGGUUACUCUUCCGGAAGAACCAUCUUCAAUUCCCAGCACCUAAGUGGUAGCUUAUAACAACCUGUAACUCUAGUUCCAAGGAUCUAAUGCCCUCUUCUGGCCUUCUCUGGCACCUGACACACAAGUGGCUCACAUACAUACAUACAGGCUAAAUAAUUUUUAAAAUUGCAUUAUAAAACCUUGGUUCUAAGAUAAGAAGUCUAUUCCAUACGGACCCAUUUUUAUUUUCUUCAGGAAUUCCUAUCUCCAAGAAUUUAAUACAAUCUAAUAAGUAUUAGUAUUAAAUCAGUAUUAGGUAUAAAUACCUUUUCAUUCUGUCCAUAAUUGUGUGUGUGUGUGUGUGUGUGUGUGUGUGUGUACACGCGCGCGCCCAUGACAAAUAAUGUGGGUUGCCUUCCAGGUAUAUAAUGUUUGUUAAAGGCAAACUACUUUGGAGGGAAGAUAAAAUUGAUUUAUGAAGAAUUUCUCCAGUAUUAAAUAAUAAUGUGCUUAGCUAUUUUGAGUCAUAACUCAACAUAUAGUGUUCAUUACUUUUUCCAAAUUUUGGAAAACAAAUACAGAAAAUAGCAUACAACUUAUGGUCCAAUAGGUCACUGGCAUCUGUUCCAUUCGUUUAAAAAAUUUUUAAUUACUUUCAGAUUAUGUAUAUGUUUGUGUACAUGCACACGUAUAUGCAGCUAUAUGAACAUCAAUGCAGAUGUACACAGAAGCCAAAGGAAUUACAGGUGGCUUUGAGCCCUUGAUGUGGGUGCUAGGAAUCAAACUCAGGCCCUCUGUAAAGGCAGUAAGUAGUAAUGAACCAUCUCUCCAGCCCCAGGAACAACAUUUUAAAAAUGUAGAUGAAAAAUCAUGUAAUAUCACCCAGUAUAUUUCUUUUCUUCCUUUCCUCUCCUUUCCCUCCCUCCCUCCCUCUCUCUUUCUUUCUUUCUUUCUUUCUUUCUUUCUUUCUUUCUUUCUUUCUUUCUUUCUUUCUUUCUUAAUGAAAUAUGUUAAUUGCAGACCAUGGAGUUGAUUUCACAGCCCACUAUUGAAAAGAAUACAUUUGAGAAAAUGAGGCUUUAGAGCUUUAGUGUAUUGUCCAGUGUCAAUGUCAAAUGACCAUGCAACUUGACCCAGAAACUAGUUCUGAAGCUUUUAUUUGUUCUACCACAGUUAGAUGGCUCUUCUAGUGACAUUAACCUGUAACAACCUGAGAUGAACUUUGACAAUUACUACAUAGAAUGUAAAUUUUCAAAAACAAAGUAUAAUGGAAGGAGUAGAAAUUCUCUUCUUCAGCUUUGUUGUGUCAGUGCUUUUCAAAGAAUUCUUUGCCACUUGGAAUAUCUGAUAAUCUUGGUUAGAAUACAAUUGAUAGUACUUACUAGUUAUGAGACAAACUCAUAGGUACCCAAAGGACUUACAUCUCAUUAUUUAGCCUUGUCUUGAGCUACUUUUGACUUCUUAAGAAUAAUAGCAAUAAGGCCUGUCUUAAGACCUAGCUUUUGAGAACUUUUGAAAUAUGUCUUGGAGUUAGUGCUCAAAUGUGGGAAAGGAUAUUUCUAGAACUUAGAUUCAGUUUGGGCAUUUCCAAACAAAUCCUGUUACUGUUUGUUUGUUUGUUUGUUUGUUCGUUCGUUUUCAGGUCUGUCCACAUAGCCCUGGCUAUCAUGGAACUCACCAAUGUACUAUAUGUUAGGCUAGGCUCAAACUCAGAGAAUGCCUGCCUUUGCCUCCCAGUGCUGGGGUCAAAGGAAUGCAUCACUAUGCCUGAUUGAUUUGGUUUUAUGUAAAGGAGAAUUGGAGCAUAAAGCUAUAGCAAGUUAUAACGGAAAGAGAUAAUCUAUGAUUAUUGAUUGUGAGCCAUGUACUGUGGGAUGAACCCUUUCCCUGAAAUUGAACCCAGGUUCUUAAACAGACAAAUGUUGACCUAUCCUCCAUUUGCUGGGCACAUUUAAGCUUUAAUUUUCAUAGCUAUUUGUGAGAGGAAAGGGUAUUCUCUUUUUUCUUAAAGAUUUAUUUAUUAUUAUACAUAAAUACACUGUAGCUGUCUUCUGACACACCAGAAGCGGGCGUCAGAUCUCAUUACAGAUGGUUGUGAGCUACCAUAUGGUUGCUGGGAUUUGAACUCAGGACCUUUGGAAGAGCAGUCAGUGCUCUUGCCCGCUGAACCAUCUUACCAGCCCCGGGUAUUCUCAUUUUGCAGAGAAAAAAAAAAUUAGGAUUUAGAGGAAUGAGUCCUGAGCAGUCGCAUAACCAGGUAGUACUGAGGUUGGGAGAGAAACUCUAUACCUUCUUUGAGAGAGAGUGGUUAUUUCUAGGUGCUGGGAGCAAGAUGCUAUGUUGUAUAGGAAACCAGUGGGGUGGAAGAAAAUGGAGCUGUUUUUGUAUUUUACAUUGUAUUUUUGUAUUUGUAUUGGAACAGCUUCUUUUUAGCCUGUUUAAGAUUCAGGUACUUGGGGCUGUUUUUCACUCUUCAUGAAUUAGCUUUUG
rnacentral:lncRNA from 1 species